rnacentral:rRNA from 1 species
UACAGAGGGUGCGAGCGUUGUCCGGAAUCACUGGGCGUAAAGGGCGCGUAGGUGGCGGCCCAAGUCCGUGGUGAAAGCUCGCCGCUUAACGGCGAGUCGGCCACGGAGACUGGGUGGCUCGAGCACUGUAGGGGCAGAUGGAGUUCCGGGUGUAGCGGUGGAAUGCGUAGAGAUCCGGAAGAACACCAGUGGCGAAGGCGGUCUGCUGGGCAGUUGCUGACACUGAGGCGCGACAGCGUGGGGAGCAAACAGG